ACUUCGGUUGAAGUCGCUAUAAUCCUAGUGGCGGACGGGUGAGUAACGCGUGGGUAACCUGCCUCACACUGGGGGAUAACAGUCAGAAAUGACUGCUAAUACCGCAUAAGCGCACGGGAUUGCAUGAUCCAGUGUGAAAAACUCCGGUGGUGUGAGAUGGACCCGCGUUGGAUUAGCCAGUUGGCAGGGUAACGGCCUACCAAAGCGACGAUCCAUAGCCGGCCUGAGAGGGUGGACGGCCACAUUGGGACUGAGACACGGCCCAGACUCCUACGGGAGGCAGCAGUGGGGAAUAUUGCACAAUGGGGGAAACCCUGAUGCAGCGACGCCGCGUGAAGGAAGAAGUAUCUCGGUAUGUAAACUUCUAUCAGCAGGGAAGAAAAUGACGGUACCUGACUAAGAAGCCCCGGCUAACUACGUGCCAGCAGCCGCGGUAAUACGUAGGGGGCAAGCGUUAUCCGGAUUUACUGGGUGUAAAGGGAGCGUAGACGGAGCAGCAAGUCUGAUGUGAAAGGCGGGGGCUCAACCCCCGGACUGCAUUGGAAACUGUUGAUCUUGAGUACCGGAGAGGUAAGCGGAAUUCCUAGUGUAGCGGUGAAAUGCGUAGAUAUUAGGAGGAACACCAGUGGCGAAGGCGGCUUACUGGACGGUAACUGA
rnacentral:rRNA from 1 species